UUUUAAAGUUGAGUAGAAACUCACUGUCAGAUACGAUCAUGUUCAAAGUAGCAUAUGGUAAUCUAUAUUUGCAUCAUCGUGCUGAUUGUGUGGUUUCUCAUUUGCAAUUUUUGUCAAAGGAUGUCUUAUGAAUAUUGUCCUUGUGAACAUAAAAGUCGAAGGAAUAUUUCUACAUGUUUGAGCACUCUGGCGACUCUAGUGUAAAACAGCAA